CACAGAAUGGUGUCUAAAACACAGAGAAAACCUGUUAGAAAAAUGCAGGGUGGGAAUGUUUUUCUCCAGUCUCUUGCAAUUUUAAUGACAUUGGAUGUUAGUUAUAAGAUGAUGGAUAAAAAUGUAGAACCAUCAGUUCCUGUUUAAGCACUAAUCAAUAGUUUUAUUUCUUAUAUGCUGUACUUUGAUGGACCCUUCUCUGACACGCAUAGAAUCAUUCAGAAGUUGCUUUAUUAGUAAUAGUGCAGGAAACAUUGCAUUUUCCACUCUUGUUUGGGAACUCGUACAGGAACUUGCCAUACACACUGUUGUAAUCGAUCAUUACAGUGUAUUGCCUGAUGGGGGCCAUGUUAAGGUUGCUACCAUAAUUCAGAUAUUGCCACUUCCUGAUUUUUAUUUUGGGUUUCUUUAGCAGCUGCUGUGCAAAAUAUAUCUUUAAUACUUUUGGGGACAGAUUUUUCUGUUUGGCUGGAAAAACUGAACUAGUAAAAGGAAAAGCUGUUAUUACUAUAGUAACUCUUGGGUGUCCCUUUCAAGAUUGGCCCUCAAUAUUCAGGAAUCUGUACAAGCAGAAAAAAGAGAUUGUAUGUUGUCAGGUCUUGUGGCAAGCAGCUUCUUUCAAGGUAGGACUGUUAAAUGAUUCUGUAAUUGACAUAUUCAUACUACCUCCAGUGAAAAAAAUCUUACUCGACAGACAGGAGAUGCAUUAGAGGAACUCUUUGCUUCAGCAUCUUUGAAAUCUGCAGGAAGGAACCUUUUUCUUUGAAAUUUUACUUUUCUCUCAUUCCCUGUACAUUAUGUAAAGCAAAGCUUAAUCAUGAAAGUGUUGACUGUUAAGCUGCAUAGUUCUGAAUACAUAUGCAAUGUGGUUUUCCAUAUUUACAAAAUUUCACAUUUUUUCAUGGAAACUGUGUGUUUAAAAUACACCAUGGAGGAUUUUUCACUAGCUCAAUACUCAAUCAAAUUGUGACUUAAUUUUCUCACAAACUCUCAAUAGCACGGUUUUUCAGUGAGAACUCUUGUCAAACAAAACACAUACCUUUUUACAAACCAUUAUUUAGAACCUUGCAAUAUAAUAUUUCUUACAAUCUUACCUAAACUUUAUUGGCUAUUUCUAAGGUUCUCAAUUUGGUCUCUUAACUAAUGGUAUAAUUUUGAAAGUCACUUAUGUACAGAGCCGGAUGGAAAGUACAUUUUUAAAAUCUUUUCAUAUCUAAACUCUUUACUUUGAGCAGAACCCGUGGAAGGCACCUGAUGCAUCCAACUUUAUUCCUGUAACAUCACAAUUUAUUUUCAUUCUGUUACAUCUUCACUGGUAUAUCAUUGGCAUUGAAUCAUGUGGAUCAUCAUCCAUCUCUCUCUACUGAAACGCUCUGCUUGCAAAGGUCUGUGAAGAAUUUUCCACACUGACUGCUCAUCAUCCCCGGGAGCCAACGCUGAGGACGUGGAAACUGUCUUCAGCACUAUCCGUGCUUCUUAGGAUAGUGCCCACUUGGAAAGGAGCGAAAAGCAGCAACUGCUGAGUGUGCCAUAUUGGGCUAGCAGAAAACGUGGGGCUGCGCGGGCUGUGCUGCCGAGGAGAGCGGCAGAGAGAAGCGGAUCAGGGGAAGCUGUUGGGACAGGCAGGGUUGCAUCUAGACCCAAGAUGCUUGCCUUGCCCUCUGGAAAGCUGCGGUAUCUGGCUGCCCUGCCUAGUCACAGCCGCUAACCUGAAGACCUGCCUUUUGGUACAGCUGUUAACAGAAAGGACCCCAAGUGGCACCAAAUAUAUCUUUUUUUAGUUUAUUACUUUAUUAUAUAGUGCUAGCUGUGGCUUGGUGUUUUCCUGCUGCAGUGUAGGCAUUUGGGAAUCUCAACCUUUCUUACUUCUCCAUCCAUUACUAGAUAUCCCUGCAAGUUCCUUGUGAGUCCUGUAGGUAAUGCCCAUUCCCACCCUGGAGUGAACUGCUUUAAUGCUCACUGGUACUCCAGACUCUUAAAAAUAGCAGUUUCUCAAAGAACAUACCUAUUCUUGACAAAAGCCAGUGACACCUCUAAGAUCUCUGAAUUCAGUUUGCUGAAGUAUACCUCUAAGGCAGUAAGAAAUCCAAGGAGAGCAGAAGUGUUAACGGGGUUUGGAGUUGAGAAGUGGCUUAUGCUCGGGUAUGAGGAAUUCAUAUUUUUAUUAAAUUAAUGUUUUGCAAAACUGAAGGUAUGAAAGUUUACUUUGCCCAGGGAUGGCCUUAACUUUGACUCUUGCUGUUUCAUAAAGGAAAAUGAAUGUAGAUUAGAGCUGUGACAGAAACCAUUAAACAUGAUAUCUCCGAAAGCUAGCUCAUUUUCUUAAAUAUGUUUCUUGAAACAAUAUGAGAAAUUUUACUUUAAAAAUUUUAAUUUAAAAAAUGUCAAGGACAAACGUUCUAAAUGUAUUUUUUCUUUCCAGAUUUUUCUGUAAACAUACAUACAAUUAAACUAGCACAGACAAUACAUUUUAUUUGUACCUUUGGAAUAUGUCCAAGGUAGACCAUUUCAUAUAUCUCUUUUGUACAGUUGUUAUAUUUCGUUUGCUUUCUUGGGAAACAAAACAAAACACACACACACACAAAAAAAAAAAAAAAAAAAAAAAAAAAAAAAAAAAAAAAGAAUAAGCUCCUACAAUCCAGUAUUUUCAUGUAAAACUGUUUCUUCAAAAGUGCACAACGUUCUGUUUGGUAUCUCUUGCACCUGUGGCCUGUCUGUGCAGCUGUAAUUGCAAGACCAAGUCCAAUAUCUUUCAGGCAAAAAUACCCACUGUCUUUUUGGCAGGAACAUCUCCAGUGGCUUUUUGUUGCACAACCACUUCAGUUUAUCAGUUUCCCCACUGCAAAAUAGUGUCAUUUAGAAUAUGCAUGCGUUUAAAUUUUUAGUCUCACACUUAAUUUGGAGCACUGCAAAACUCAGGAAAGAUAUUCCUAGCUGCAAAUCUGUUUCAGAGAAAAGUUUGAUAGAUUUAACAUACUAUUGCUUGGUUUGGGGUUUUUGUUUUUUUUCUUUCAACAUUGCAUAUGAGAGGAGUAAUGCAGCAUACCAAAAAAUAUUUCAGAUCUGUCUAUUGGUUUGUUAUGGUUGAUCAUUUAAGCACACCAUUUUUGCUUUGUACAUCUGUAAAAUGGGUGUAGCAGGACGUAAGUGACUCAAAUGAUAAAACAUGUAAUUAAGCAGUGUAUGUAAAAUGAGAUGAUGUAUUAGUAUCUGAUGCUGUUAAUUUAGAAAUGCAGAGAUCUCUUAACCUGUAACUGGAAACUACAUUGAUCUAAAAUAAAUGUCAUGUAUUAAAAUGUUAGGCAGAGGUAACAUUAAUGGCAAAUAUCAUUGGUUGUGUGUCUUAUUUAAAUAGCAUGCCAGCUUUGUACUCUGGGGAUAUGUUUAACAUCUGAUACACGCCAAUCCCCAAAUUCCAAUCGGACAGAUUUGAUUUAUAAUUGAUAAUUUAUAUGGGUGGCAAUGCAGAGUGGGUUUUAAUAACGCAACUCUUGAAAUCAGUAUUCUUCAAAAAUUACUUUACCAUAGAGCAGUCACAACACAAAUCAUGUGUUCUAACUUACGUGUGUUAAGUGUGGAUGAGAAAAAUUACUGUAAUUUUGAUGAGUUACCAUAAAAAUGUGUAUCAAAUGUGGAUUCAUGGUGUGCAAACUGUGUUAGGGGAUUAGAGGGUAUUGGAAUAGCGCUACUGACAGCAGCAUUAUGAAGUCGAAGCUAAUUUUUUAAUUUCUGUUUGUAACAAUGCCGCAAUGGAAAAUUCAAACCAGUUCAAAUAUUUCUGUUGGUAUUUUCAGUUUGUACUGAAUAAUGUUAAACAAUAGUAAGGCCUAAAAAAAUGGUAGAAAAGCUAGCAUACAGCCCAGCAUCUUAAUUUCUCUUAAAAUGCUUACCAUUUUUGCUUAUUUUACCCUCCUAUUGACAUCCACUUGGCAAGCCUGGGAAGGGGGGGGGG